AUACGUAGGGAGCGAGCGUUGUCCGGAAUUACUGGGCGUAAAGGGCGCGUAGGCGGCGCUUCAAGUCGUCUGUCAAAUGGGAGGGCUUAACCCUUUUUCGCAGACGAAACUGGAGAGCUUGAGAAGCAGAGAGGCAAACAGAAUUCCUGGUGUAGCGGUGAAAUGCGUAGAUAUCAGGAAGAAUACCAGUGGCGAAUGCGGUUUGCUGGCUGCAUACUGACGCUGAAGCGCGAAAGCCAGGGGAGCAAACGGGAUUAGAUACCCCGGUAGUCCUGGCAGUAAACGAUGUAUGCUGGGUGUGAGACUAGCGAUAGUUUCGUGCCGAAGUUAACGCGAUAAGCAUACCGCCUGGGGAGUACGGUCGCAAGAUUGAAACUCAAAGGAAUUGACGGGG
rnacentral:rRNA from 1 species